rnacentral:rRNA from 1 species
GUGGGGAAUUUUGGACAAUGGGCGCAAGCCUGAUCCAGCAAUGCCGCGUGCAGGAAGAAGGCCUUCGGGUUGUAAACUGCUUUUGUACGGAACGAAACGGUCCGGGUUAAUACCCUGGGCUAAUGACGGUACCGUAAGAAUAAGCACCGGCUAACUACGUGCCAGCAGCCGCGGUAAUACGUAGGGUGCAAGCGUUAAUCGGAAUUACUGGGCGUAAAGCGUGCGCAGGCGGUUUUGUAAGACAGGCGUGAAAUCCCCGGGCUCAACCUGGGAAUUGCGCUUGUGACUGCAAGGGUGGAGUGCGGCAGAGGGGGAUGGAAUUCCGCGUGUAGCAGUGAAAUGCGUAGAUAUGCGGAGGAACACCGAUGGCGAAGGCAAUCCCCUGGGCCUGCACUGACGCUCAUGCACGAAAGCGUGGGGAGCAAACAGGAUUAGAUACCCCUGUAGUCC